rnacentral:lncRNA from 1 species
GCAAGUCAAGGAAGUUGCUGCCCAGAAACCAAGUGAGGACAUUUACAAGAACUGGCAGCAGCAGCAGCAGCAGCAGCAGCAGCAGCAGCAGCAGCAACUGGAUUUGCUUUUUCACCAGAGGAUCCAGAUUUCCCUGUGGCCUCGCAAACAAAAAAGAAGGAAGACGGAGCAGCACAGUCAUCCCUUUGUGAAAAAGGCAUUCAGGUUCUCCGCCGGCUCUGGCUGCGGGCGGCCCUCAUCUAACAAGAUGCUUCGGUCCAUGGGUGGAGGACAAAGGCCUACGGGCUUGGGGAGCGAGUUCUUUCGUCUCCUACAUGACCUUCAUCUGCUCGCGUUUGCCAUGAAGCGCAUCUGGAUCCACCGGAGGGGCGAGGCCACAGCUCGACCGCGAGCACCUGAGCAUCCUGCACCGCCUGCGACGGCCGUCAGGGGGCGCGAUGCCGCCUCACAGAACCUCAAGCGGCGCCCGGGUUCCGGCACAGACGGCCUGCGGCUCCAGGGGGCGGAGCCGAGCCGUCUCCUCAGGACCUACGCAGGAGGCGCCGUCAUCCCUACAGGGACACCUGAGAGGGCCCAGCCUCCUCCUCCUCAGGACCCACUCGGGAGACGCCGCUGGCUCUCUAGGAACACCUGGGGACCGUGGCCAGGGACGACCCAGCCUCCUUCUCCUCAGCUCCUCAGGAACGACUGGGGAAGCUGUGGCUUCAUGGUCCCCGAGGCUGCCCGAGGAAAGGUAUUUCAGGACAGCCAGGAGGGGGCGCACAUCCGCCGAGAAACUGUGAGCAAGAGCGUCUGUGCUGAACCAUGGCGCCACCAGAGGGCGCGCGAUCCCGCCCCAACCAACUUCCCGCUGAGGUGCCAGAAGCAGCGAGGAGCUUCAGCUUCCUCAGGGCAGCACGAGGGUCGUGUUAACUUGGUGUUCUUCAUUGAUGAUGAUUAUUCCCCACCUUCUAAGAGACAAAGACCAACGAGCCACCACAGCCACCAGUCCCAGAACCCGCCAAUGCUGGGGAACGGAAAAUGAGGGAGUUCAACUCUGGCCCUCACAAUCCAGUGGAGGAGACGAAACUCAUCUGCCUCUGUCCCUCUGGGCACGCCUCAUGCCAGGUGCAUCUGUGGACAGGGGCCAUGCUCCUGGGCUUCCAAAGUUGGAGAAAGCUGCCAGGCUCAGGUCUGAAGGCCAGAAUUCUACAGUAAGUCCUACUGAGUCAAGGUGGGAGCAGGGUCGGUAGCUUCCGAGGCUCUGCGGGAGAAUCCGUUUCCUGGCCGUAGAGGUGGCCUGCACUCCUCAGCUUGUGCUGCCCGUCUCGAAUGACUGGAGUUUCCUGCUUCUGUCACUACACCUCCCACCCUCUCCAUCACCUGCUCUGCUCUUACAAGGAUCCGAAGAAAUGGAAUCAUCGUAUCGCUGAUCUACGUAAACAAACUGAAGAAUUGUCUGAAAGAAAAUAUGACAUGAACUUAUGAAUUCAACAGGUGAAGAUUUACAACUUGAUAAAUCAACUUUGUCAGCUCGAGCUGUAAAAGCCAAAGGUCCGGUGAUGAUCCCAUACCCUUUUUUCCAGUCUCAUGUUGAAGAUUUUUAUGUAGAAGGCCUUCCCAAAGGAAUUUUUUUUUUUUUUUUUUUUUUUGAGAUGGAGUUUUCACUCUUAUCGCCCAGGCUGGGGUGCAAUGGCGCAACCUUGCUGGUCACUGCAACCUCUGCCUCCUGGGUUCAAGAAAUUCUCCUGCCUUAGCCUCCCAAGUCACUGGGAUUACAGGUGCCCACCACCACACCAGGCUAAUUUUUGUAUUUUUAGUGGAGAUGCGGUUUCACCAUGUUGGCUGGGCCAGUCUCGAACUCCUGACGUCAAGUGAUCUUCCCGCCUCGACUCCUGAUAUCAAGUGAUCUUCCCGCCUCGGCCUCCCAGAGUGCUGAGAUUACAGACGUGAACCCAUGCCUGGCCAGGAAUUUUGUUUUUUAGGAAGGCUUUCUACUAAUGGAAUUCCUGGCCUUGAGAGGAUGUUACUUUAGAAGGAAAGGAUUUUUUUGUUAUUAAAAGCUGGACCUACCAUGAAAGACUUCUGAAUCCAGGAAGAGAAACUGACUGGGCAACAUGUUAUUCAGAAACAGGACCUUGCCCUGUCACUCAGGAUGGAGUUCAGUGGUCCUAUCAUGGCUCAUUAUAGCCUCAAACUCCCAGGCUCAAGCAAUCCUACCAUGUCAGCCUUCCCAGUAGCUGGGACUACAGGCUGGAGUACAGUGGCACAACCUCUGCUCACUGCAGCCUCCACCUGCCAGGCUCAAGCAAUUCUCCUGCCUCAGCCUCCCGAGUAGCUGGGAUUACAGGAUGUGAGCUCACAAUGACUCAAGCUGCCACAUACUGUUGAUUGUGAAAUGCCAGUUGAAGCAUAUGUCCUGCGAGCUUAGGGGUGCUACAAGUUGACCACUGCAGCAGUAAAGAUGACUCUGAAGAAUGGCGUGGGUUGGUUCCUUUCAAAUGCACUUGAGCAGCGGUCUCCAACCACAGGGCCACAGAGCUGGAGCUGGAUCUACCAUGAAAGACUUGUGAAUCCAGGAAGAGAGACUGACUGGGCAACAUGUUAUUCAGGGUCUCCCUCUGUUGUCCAAGGCUGGAGUGUAGUAGUGCUAUCGCAGCUGACUGCAGCCUCAACCUUCCAGGCUGAAGCGAUCCUCCCACCUCAACCUCCCACGUGGCUGAGACUACAGGUGCUUGCCACUAUGCCCAACUAACAUUUGGAAUUUUCGUAUACGUGGAUUCUAGAGGGGUGACAGCGAAACGUGGGACCAUCCAGUUGCAGGAAAACAAGCUUGACACGCCCACUAAUUCUACAUUAUGCUCCUACCUCCCGGCAGCCUCUCCAGGCCCAGAACUUUCUCCAGUCAGCCUCUACAGACCAAGCUCAUGACUCACAAUGGCCUAUUUAGGCCCAUACCCUACGUCACGGCAGCCUCCGCAGAUGAGGCUACUGCCUCACAACAGCCUCCACAGGCACAGCUCCAUCGUUACAAUGGCCUCUUUAGACCCAGCUCCUGCCUCCCAGCCUUCUCUCCAGGCCCUGAACUUUCUCAAGUCGACCUCACCAGGCCCAGCUCAUGCUUCUUUGCAGCCUCUCCAGGCCCAGCUCCUGCAUCUUGGUGGCCCCUCCAGGCCCAGCCUCUGCCUCCCGUCAGCCUCUACAGUCCCAACGUCUGCCUCACAGCAGAUUCUUCACGCCCAGCAUCUACCUCACUGUGGACCCCCCAAGCCAAGCUCCCAACCUUUCAGCAGCUUCUACACACCCAGCUCCCGCCUGCCAGUGGCCUCUUCAGGCCCAUGGGGCUCAUUCCUGACAACGGCCUUUCCAGGCCCAGUUUUUCCCUUCCGGCGGCCUCUCCGGGCCCAGAACCUCCUCAAGUCAGCCUCUCCAGACCCACUUGCACCCUCCGGGCGUUCUCUCCGGGCCCAGCUCUUCUUCCUGGUUGGGUCUCCAGGCCCGAUUCCUGCCUCUCAACAACCUCUUUGGACUCAGUGCCUACCCAUCUCCUGGCGGCCUUGGUCGGCCCACAGCUUCCUCAAGCCAAGCUCCCCAGGCCCAGGUCAGGCCUCACGGUGGCCUCUCCAGGAUGAGCUCCUGCCCUCCGAUGGCAUCUCCAGGCCCCAAAUGGUCUCCGGUCGGUGGGCUCCUCCACGCCAAGGUUGGGCCUCCCGGCGACUGCCGCAGGCCCAAGUUGUCCUGAAGUCGGGCUCUCCCGGCCCUGCCUCCCAGCAAGUAAGCAAGCUCUUUUGGCUCAACUCCUGCCCAGCUCCCAACCGCCUUUGUAGGCCCCGAACUUUCUCCAGCCAAGCUCUGAGGGCCCACCUCCUGCCUCCUGGUGGCCUGUACAGUUCUAGCACUGGUUGGAGAACAGCCUCUGCAGGCCCCGCCUUGCCUCCCAGGGGCCUCUCCAGGCCAAGCUCUUGCACCCACGGCGGCCUCCCGGGGCAAGUCCCUGCCUGCCUCCCAGCAGCCCGCGUGCGCCCAGCUCCUCCCUCACGGUGGCCUGUUGAUGCCAACUCAUGCCUCUGGACCCUGCACAGAGCGUGACGCUGCCUCACACUGGCUACUCCACGCUGAGAGAGGUCAGUGUGAGCCCUUGCCUCACACCGGCUCCUCCCACGCUUGAGAGAGGUCAGCGUGAGCCCCUUGCCUCACACCGGCCCCUCCCACGCUGAGAGAGGUCAGUGUGAGCCCUUGCCUCACACCGGCCCCUCCCACGCGGACAGAGGUCAGCGUGAGCCCCUUGCCUCACACCGGCCCCUCCCACGCUGAGAGAGGUCAGUGUGAGCCCUUGCCUCACCCCGGCCCCUCCCACGUGGACAGAGGUCAGCGUGAGCCCCUUGUCUCACACCGGCCCCUCCCACGCUGAGAGAGGUCAGUGUGAGCCCUUGCCUCACACCGGCCCCUCCCACGCGGACAGAGGUCAGCGUGAGCCCCUUGCCUCACACCGGCCCCUCCCACGCGGACAGAGGUCAGCCCGAGCCCCUUGUCUCACACCGGCCCCUCCCAUGCUGAGAGAGGUCAGCGUGCCCCUUGUCUCACACCGGCCCCUCCCACGCUGAGAGAGGUCAGCCCAAGCCCCUUGCCUCACACCGGCCCCUCCCACGCGGACAGAGGUCAGCCCGAGCUCCUUGCCUCACACCGGCCCCUCCCACGCUGAGAGAGGUCAGUGUGAGCCCUUGCCUCACACCGGCCCCUCCCACGCGGACAGAGGUCAGCGUGAGCCCCUUGCCUCACACCGGCCCCUCCCACGCUGAGAGAGGUCAGUGUGAGCCCUUGCCUCACACCGGCCCCUCCCACGCGGACAGAGGUCAGCGUGAGCCCCUUGCCUCACACCGGCCCCUCCCACGCUGAGAGAGGUCAGCCCGAGCCCCUUGCCUCACACCGGCCCCUCCCACGCUGAGAGAGGUCAGCGUGAGCCCCUUGUCUCACACCGGCCCCUCCCACGCUGAGAGAGGUCAGCCCGAGCCCCUUGCCUCACACCGGCCCCUCCCACGCUGAGAGAGGUGUGAGCCCCUUGUCUCACACCGGCCCCUCCCACGCGGACAGAGGUCAGCGUGAGCCCCUUGCCUCACACCGGCCCCUCCCACGCUGAGAGAGGUCAGUGUGAGCCCUUGCCUCACACCGGCCCCUCCCACGCGGACAGAGGUCAGCGUGAGCCCCUUGCCUCACACCGGCCCCUCCCACGCUGAGAGAGGUCGGUGUGAGCCCUUGCCUCACACCGGCCCCUCCCACGCGGACAGAGGUCAGCGUGAGCCCCUUGCCUCACCCCGGCCCCUCCCACGCUGAGAGAGGUCAGUGUGAGCCCUUGCCUCACACCGGCCCCUCCCACGCGGACAGAGGUCAGCGUGAGCCCCUUGCCUCACCCCGGCCCCUCCCACGCUGAGAGAGGUCAGUGUGAGCCCUUGCCUCACACCGGCCCCUCCCACGCGGACAGAGGUCAGCGUGAGCCCCUUGCCUCACACCGGCCCCUCCCACGCUGAGAGAGGUCAGUGUGAGCCCUUGCCUCACACCGGCCCCUCCCACGCGGACAGAGGUCAGCGUGACCCCCUGCCUCAACAGGCCACCGUGAGGGAGGAACAGGAUCGCACUCGGGCUGCUGGGAGGUAGGCAGGGACUUGGGCCUGGGAGGUCGCGGUGGGGCGAGAGCUGGGCCUGGAGACUCCCCUGGGAGGCAACAGCGGGGUCUGCAGACGCCCUUCUCCAGCCGGAGCUGGGACUGUUCAGUCACUGGGAGAAGGGAUGUGGGUCUGAAGAGCUUGGUUGCAGAAACUUCGGGGUCUACAAACGCAGGCGGGAGCUGAGCCAAAAGAGCUUGUUUGCUGGGAGGUGGGAGAUGCAGCCAGGAGGAACAGCUGGGCAAUGCGGGAGGCAGAGCCAGGCCUCCUCAAGUUGGCCUCUCAGACCCACUUGCAGCCUCCCGGCGCCCCCUCCGGGCCCAGCUCUUCCUCCCGGCUGCAUCUCCAGGCCGGACUCUGGCCCGACUCCAGGUCCCAACAACGUCUUUGGACUCAGCUCCUGCCCAGCUCCCAGCGGCCCUGGUAGGCCCACAACUUCCCUAAGCCAAGCUCCCCAGGCCCAGCUCAGGCCUCGCGGUGGCCUCUCCAGGCUCAGCUCCUGGCCCUCCGAUGACAUCUGCAGGCCCCAAAUGGCCUCCGGUCGGUGGGCUCCUCUAGGCCCAGCUUGGGCCUCCCGGCGGCCUCCGCAGGCCCAAAUCGUCCCGAAGUCAGUCUCUCCAGGCUUAGCUCCAGCCUCCCGGCGGCCUCUGCAGGCCCAAGUCGUCCUCAAGUCGGCCUGGAAGUGGGCCUGGAAGAGCAGCAAGUCGGCCUCCCUGGGCCCAGCUCCGUCCUCUCGACGGCCUCUCCAGGUGCAAAACUUCCUCGAGUCAGCCUCUCCAGGCCCAGCUCCUCCUGCCUCCCAGUGGCCUCUUUCAGCCCAGCCCAGCUCAUGGCUCUCGGCGGCCUUCGCAGGCCCUGCUUUUGACUUUUGGCAGCCUCUUCAGGCGCAGAACUUGAUCUCCAGUCGGCCUUUGCAGGCCCGGCCUCCUGCCUCUCGAAGGCCUGCACGGGCCCGGCCUCGGCCUCGGCCUCACAGCGGACUCUCCACGCCCAGCUAGCUCUCGCCUCACUGCGGCCUCCCCAGUCCAAAGCUCCUGCCUUUCGGCCACUUCGGCAGGUCCAGCUCCUGCCUGCCAGUGGCCUCUUUAGGCCCAGCUCAUUCCUCACGUCGGCCAUUCCAGGCCCCGUUUUUCCCUUCCGGCAGCCUCUUGGCCUCUAAUUUGUUUAUCUUUUGUGUAUAAAUCCCAAAAUAUUGAAUUUUGGAAUAUUUCCACCAUUAUGUAAAUGUUUUGGUAGGUAA